CCCUUAGAUGUUCUGGGCUGCACGCGUGCUACAAUGGCGUUUCCAGCAAGUCUGCGAACCCGAGAGGGCCAGCGGAUCUUCGAAUUGGCGUCGUGAUUGGGACAGUCGAUUGCAAUUAUUUGACUCAAACGAGGAAUUCCUUGUAAUCGCGAUUCAUCAUAUCGCGCUGAAUACGUCCCUGCCCUUUGUACACACCGCCCGUCGCUCCUACCGAUUGAGCGAUCCGGUAAAUGUUUUGGAUUGGUGCCGGGGCGGCUAGCUGCCGGUCGCUACGAAAUUUUGUGAACCUUAUCGCUUAGAGGAAGGAAAAGUCGUAACA
rnacentral:rRNA from 1 species